AUGAAUACAGAUGCCUGUCGAGCUUGCUCACGGGCUUUCUAUCAUAUCCAUAACACCUGUGCACUUGUUGGAUGUCUAGAGACGUAAAGUCGACAGUCAUCCACUUACACUAAACAAUAAUGUAACAAAUGUAGUCUUAUUAUAACAAAAUAAAACUUUCAACAACGGAUCUCUUGGCUCUCGCAUCGAUGAAGAACGCAGCGAAAUGCGAUAAGUAAUGUGAAUUGCAGAAUUCAGUGAAUCAUCGAAUCUUUGAACGCACCUUGCGCUCCUUGGUAUUCCGAGGAGCAUGCCUGUUUGAGUGUCAUGAAAACCCUCAACCUUAGAUUGGUUAUUUGACCUUUCUUUGGCUUGGAUUUGGACGUUUGCCGAUGUCAAGUCGGCUCGUCUUAAAAGUAAUAGCUGGAUCUGUCUCGCGACAUGGUUUGACUUGGCGUAAUAAGUAUUUCGCUAAGGACAUCUUCGGAUGGCCCUGUUGCAGGACUAAAGACCGCUUUCUAAUCCAUUGAUCUUCGGAUUAAUAUUCAUAACAUCUGGCCUCAAAUCAGGUAGGACUACCCGCUG
rnacentral:rRNA from 1 species